UCCCUGGCUGCAUUCAGGAA
rnacentral:misc_RNA from 1 species